rnacentral:rRNA from 1 species
GACGAACGCUGGCGGCGUGCCUAAUACAUGCAAGUCGAACGGUCUUUUCUAUGGAAGCUUGCUUCCACUGAGAAGAUAGUGGCGAACGGGUGAGUAACACGUGGGUAACCUGCCCAUAAGAGGGGGAUAACAUCCGGAAACGGGUGCUAAUACCGCAUAGUUUUCUUGAUCGCAUGAUUGAGAAAGGAAAGACGGCCUUUGUGCUGUCGCUUAUGGAUGGACCCGCGGCGUAUUAGUUAGUUGGUGAGGUAACGGCUCACCAAGACGAUGAUACGUAGCCGACCUGAGAGGGUGAUCGGCCACAUUGGGACUGAGACACGGCCCAAACUCCUACGGGAGGCAGCAGUAGGGAAUCUUCCGCAAUGGACGAAAGUCUGACGGAGCAACGCCGCGUGAGUGAAGAAGGUUUUCGGAUCGUAAAACUCUGUUGUCAGAGAAGAACAAGUUGGAGAGUAACUGCUCCAGCCUUGACGGUAUCUGACCAGAAAGCCACGGCUAACU